UACGUAGGGGGCAAGCGUUGUCCGGAAUCAUUGGGCGUAAAGAGCGUGUAGGCGGCCCGGUAAGUCCGCCGUGAAAGUCCAGGGCUCAACCCUGGAAUGCCGGUGGAUACUGUCGGGCUAGAGUCCGGAAGGGGCGAGUGGAAUUCCUGGUGUAGCGGUGAAAUGCGCAGAUAUCAGGAGGAACACCGAUGGCGAAGGCAGCUCGCUGGGACGGUACUGACGCUGAGGCGCGAAAGCGUGGGGAGCAAACAGG
rnacentral:rRNA from 1 species